UGGCAAUGGUGGCGAAAUCCUUUUAAAAACCGAAGACGAAGGUCGACUUAAGAAAAUUAAGGAUAAACAAAAAGAUUGCAAAUCCCGUCUUGGUUCAUCAAAGGAAACCUCAGCGACACAGAAGUCCGAUUUGCUUAAAGCUCUACUCACGAACCUCGAGUACUCAACAACUGAUAACUUAUGUAUACUUAUACAAUGUGUUUGCGGUGACUCCAUGAAGUGGAUAAACUUACCAACUAUGUCAUCUGGAAGUCUGGUGAAAUACUAUGUAAAAAUUAGAAAAAGCUAGAAAGCUGAAAGAGUGUUGGGCGAAGAAUGGAUGCAACAAGAGUGACAAGGGCAAGAACAGGAGGAAGACAUGCAGAAAAGCUUUCAGGAAGAACACCAAGGGAGGCAAGAGAAAUGACAAUAUCGAAGAGCCGGGAAAAAGCCAAAGAAACCGGCAAUGUUGAGUCGCCGCUUCUUGUUUUAUGUUUUAGGCAGCGUCAGAUAAUUAGCCCUUCUUUUCUUCCUUUUUUAUUCAUCUACACUCACCAAGAUAUUGUUUUUUAUCACCUUUUCUUUUGACUUCACAACUUCCCGAUCAUUUCCGCGUACGAAGCCAGUAGAAAACAAGACGAUUUGUAGCGUAGGACAAAUAGUAGAACCCCGUUCGUUUACCCAUAUUUAGACGACCAUUUUCAUUUAGGUAGCUCGUCCAACCAUCUACACAAUACAAGCGACCUGAACAGGUGCGGGUCCAGAAAAAGAUAAAAUUCUGAACCUGUUAACAAAGCGCUGAGCACUGUCGCUGUAAUUAACAGAAUGUAGCUGAUGUAAGAUGUACAUCUAUCUGGACCCGCGCCUGUUACAUGUCUGACUGCCCAAUUUCCAAAUUGUCUGAUUCUCAACUUUUGCACAUGUAUAUGUUUUGUGGUUAACUGCGAAAGUGCGUGAGAAGCUUCAAAAAGUGCAUCAAGCACGGCAAGAAGAAGGUUUGUGGGAAGGCUUUCAAAAAGUGUAUCAACUCAAGCAAGAAAAGUGACGAUAUCGAGGAAUUCUAAUAAAACCUUCUGAUAUUUACAAAUUAUUUAAAUCAGGUUUAACCAUGAAACUCGUUAAGCGGAGCCAGCGCGGCCGUAGGUAUAAGAAAAUGGUAUAUAACUAUGCGACUGAGUUUUUUUGGUCAUCGCGCGGGAGCCCUGUGGUUCUGCCUCGCCUGCUCGCUCGCCUGUCUGCCCGCGCAAGCUAUGUAACCACGCUUAGCUGACACGGUCGCCUUCACUCGAGAAAAACACAAACUUCAAACAGUAGGAAAGUUAUUUGAGAAACUCUAUUACAGUCAUGGAUUGCUUGAAUCAAAGAAUCUACAAUCUUCUCUGAGUCCACUGUCGAAGUUCGCCUGGUUAACACACGGCGGAAGAUCGAUUACACUACCGAUUCACAACAUGGCGACGAAAGAAAGACUACGAAAAAGUCUUUACAAAAAGCCUAAAAUAUAAGAAAGGACCCAUGUCUAAAGACGGAGACAUUGAAGACAAUAAAAAGCAGCAAACUAUGAUUA